rnacentral:rRNA from 1 species
GUAGGUGAACCUGCGGAGGGAUUCAUUACCGAGUUAGGGUCCUCACAGGCCCGACCUCCCAACCCAUUGUUUAUGAUACUCAGUGUUGCUUCGGCAGGCCUGGUCUUUGACCUGCCGGAGGGCCGUAACACGCCCCCCGGAGAGCGCCUGCCGACGGCCCCAACUUCAAAAUUCUUAACUAAACAUGUCUUUGUCUAAGUAAAGUCUUUAAUAAAAGCAAAACUUUCAACAACGGAUCUCUUGGUUCUGGCAUCGAUGAAGAACGCAGCGAAAUGCGAUAAGUAAUGCGAAUUGCAGAAUUCUCGUGAGUCAUCGAAUCUUUGAACGCACAUUGCGCCCUUUGGUAUUCCGAAGGGCAUGCCUGUUCGAGCGUCAUUUUCACCCCUCAAGCCCCCGGCUUGGUGUUGGACGGUUUGGUCCCGGGACCCCCCUGGACCCCUCCCAAAGACAAUGACGGCGGGCUGUCGCACCCCCGGUACACUGAGCAUCUUCACGGAGCACGUACCGGUCUUCAGGGACGACGGCACCCCGGUCUCACACCUAUAUCUUUCAAGGUUG